rnacentral:lncRNA from 1 species
AGUGCCUGAGCACGCCAUCCUCCUGUACCCUACUCCAUUACGAUGUGAUUCCUUCGUGUUAAAACUGUGUACCUUGCCCUACUAACUUUGGAUCUGGCCAAUGGAAUAUAAGGAGAUUUGACCUGUGCUGCUGUGAUUAACAGACAUCAGAGGCAUGGUACCAUGAGGACAGAGACCUCAACUGUGUGUUCAUCAUUAAGUCUCCAGAAUUCAGCAAAAUAUAUGGCACAUAGAAGGAAGAAAAACAACAGUAACUAGAUGAAGCAAGGACCACCCUUCUGGACAACAAAGGGAGAGGAAUGAAAGUCUGACCUAGGAAAAGGGGACACUACUUGAUUCAACCCAUGAGUUGACGUCUGUCUUUCUCAUCUU